GGGCGAUACGGGCCAUGAGGCGCUGGAAACCGUGUGGGGAGGGAGUUGACCGGGAUCAAUGGGCGUGAGGUGCGCGGAGGGGGCGUGGUGGGUCGGGUGGGAAAUCCCGGGGCUGAACACAGGGCGUGAAGUGGAUACGGGCUGGCUGGAGGCAGGGAGGGGAGAACGGAAUUCCCGGUGUAGCGGUGAAAUGCGCAGAUAUCGGGAGGAACACCGGUGGCGAAGGCGGUUCUCUGGGCCUGUUCUGACGCUGAGGAGCGAAAGCGUGGGGAGCGAACAGGAUUAGAUACCCCGGUAGUC
rnacentral:rRNA from 1 species